rnacentral:lncRNA from 1 species
AAGAAGGUAUAAAUAGUGGAAAAGGCAAAUCUGACCGUUACGUCAUGGCGCCCGCCAUGGAGCUUAUGGCGCCCGCCAUGUCUUCAGAUUUGGUUUGGGUCGGCUGUGCUGUUUGCUUCUUGGGCCUCAAUCCUCUCGUCUUCAUUUUUGUAAUGGGGGGUGUAUAUAGGUAUCCACGAAUGCUGUUUUUUUUUUGUUUUUGAUUUUAAGCUUGAUAAAAUAAAAU